AGCAGACCCAGGAUGAGGAGAAGAAACAUCUGACUGCUCUCAGAGACCUGAUCAAGUCCUCCCUUCAGCUGGACCAGAAGGAGUCUAGAAGAGACUCCCAGAGUAAGCAGGGUGGCUACAGCAUGCACCAGCUGCAGGGCAACAAGGAGUUU